CGGUAAGGCCCUUUCGGGGGUACACGAGUGGCGAACGGGUGAGUAACACGUGGGUGACCUGCCCUGUACUUCGGGAUAAGCCUGGGAAACUGGGUCUAAUACCGGAUAUGACCUUCUCCUGCAUGGGGGUUGGUGGAAAGCUUUUGCGGUACAGGAUGGGCCCGCGGCCUAUCAGCUUGUUGGUGGGGUAAUGGCCUACCAAGGCGACGACGGGUAGCCGGCCUGAGAGGGCGACCGGCCACACUGGGACUGAGACACGGCCCAGACUCCUACGGGAGGCAGCAGUGGGGAAUAUUGCACAAUGGGCGAAAGCCUGAUGCAGCGACGCCGCGUGAGGGAUGACGGCCUUCGGGUUGUAAACCUCUUUCAGUAGGGACGAAGCGCAAGUGACGGUACCUACAGAAGAAGCACCGGCCAACUACGUGCCAGCAGCCGCGGUAAUACGUAGGGUGCGAGCGUUGUCCGGAUUUACUGGGCGUAAAGAGCUCGUAGGCGGUUUGUCACGUCGUCUGUGAAAACCCGAGGCUUAACCUCGGGCCUGCAGGCGAUACGGGCAGACUUGAGUACUGUAGGGGAGACUGGAAUUCCUGGUGUAGCGGUGGAAUGCGCAGAUAUCAGGAGGAACACCGGUGGCGAAGGCGGGUCUCUGGGCAGUAACUGACGCUG
rnacentral:rRNA from 1 species